rnacentral:lncRNA from 1 species
AUGGGGCAUAGGAUAAACCGGUUAGUGGGAGCCGGCCCCAGGACUCUGGUCUGGGAUCUGAGGCCUACCCCAGCCGGCCCACCUCCUGCUGUUCCCCUCCCUCCAUCUGUGCAGCCCGUCCAAAGAGACUCAAUGCUGCCGAAAGUGCCGAUCCCCCAGGACACACGAUUCAUCUCUUACUCCUGCUCCCUCUGUUUCUGCAGCUUUCCCUCCGACCCUGUCUCUUUGUGUGUGUCUCUCUUUUGUCUCUCCUUGUUUCUGUCUGAGACCAGAGGAUUUGGGGACGGAAGGGUCCUGGGUCGCUCUCUCAGUCCUGCUCCCUCAGUCCUUUGGCGAGGAAGAAGGGGAGGCCAGAGAAGGGAAGGGACUCGUUCAAGGUCGCACAGCUCCUACUCGUCUCUUUGUGUUUCUCUGUAUGUAUGUGUGUGUCUCUCUGACUUCCCUUGUGUUUGUGUGGUGGUGGUGGUGGUGGUGUGGUGGUGGUGGUGUGGUGUGUGUGUGUGUGUGUGUGUGUGUGUGUGUGUGUGUGUGUGUGUGUGUGUGUGUGUUGUGGGGGUGGCUCUUUCUGCCUCCCUCUGCUCUUUCUUUCUCUGUCUCCUGGGGUCUCCGGUCUCCCUCCCUCCCUCUGUAUCUCUGUCCUCCCGGCUCCUUCUUCGAUCUGUAGAGCGGCUGCCUCCUUGCUCCGCUGUGCUCUCGACUCACAGAGUGCUGGGGCCUGCGAGCCCCGACACAUCCUCCCUCCGUCCGGCCUGUGGGCGCCCAGAAAGGCCCCCGCCCUCCCAGGCCGGCCUGGGCCGAGCUGAAUUGGGCUGGGCCCCUCCAGCCUCCAGCCCCCCCCUUCCUCUUCCUUCUCCACCUCCUCCUUCUCAUUUUCUUCCUCCUCCUCCUCCUCUUCUUUCUCCUCUCCUCCCGUCCCGCGUGGGGGAGCCUGCGCCUUUAAGGGCGGGCGAGGGGCGGGGGCUCGGGCUCCCCUCCCCUCCCCGCCCCCUCCCCCUUCCCCUCCCUGACGUCUCUUCCUCCCGGGCCCCUCCGCCGCCGCCGCCGCCGCCCGGGCCGGCUCCGCGCCCCCCGGCCCCCCCAAGCCCCAGCCCCCUUCCCACCAUGGAGCCCGGGCUCCCUUGGAGCCGGGGCCACUAG